rnacentral:rRNA from 1 species
AAUAGAUACCCGGGUAGUCCACGCCGUAAACGAUGAGUGCUAAGUGUUAGGGGGUUUCCGCCCCUUAGUGCUGCAGCUAACGCAUUAAGCACUCCGCCUGGGGAGUACGGUCGCAAGACUGAAACUCAAAGGAAUUGACGGGGGCCCGCACAAGCGGUGGAGCAUGUGGUUUAAUUCGAAGCAACGCGAAGAACCUUACCAGGUCUUGACAUCCCGUUGACCACUGUAGAGAUAUGGUUUCCCCUUCGGGGGCAACGGUGACAGGUGGUGCAUGGUUGUCGUCAGCUCGUGUCGUGAGAUGUUGGGUUAAGUCCCGCAACGAGCGCAACCCUUGAUCUUAGUUGCCAUCAUUUAGUUGGGCACUCUAAGGUGACUGCCGGUGACAAACCGGAGGAAGUGGGGAUGACGUCAAAUCAUCAUGCCCCUUAUGACCUGGGCUACACACGUGCUACAAUGGACGAUACAAACGGUUGCCAACUCGCGAGAGGGAGCUAAUCCGAUAAAGUCGUUCUCAGUUCGGAUUGUAGG